ensembl:lncRNA
GUGUUCCUUUCUGCAGAUAGAGGGCAGCAGAGGCCAGCAUUCACAUGCUUAGGGCGCUGGCAUUCUACUUAUUUAAAUUAAUUUGCUCAAUUCAUAUUCUAGUGGACAUGUCUGAAGCACUCAGGGUAAAGAGACAAACUGCCCAUUGUGGCUAAGGGCUGUAGUUGAACUUCAAGAAUACUGACACUAACGCUUUCUUUGUCUCCAAUAUGGUCAUCAUGGCUCUCCCUCUAACCUCCUUGGUCUCAGUGAGAAAUGAAAUCUGCAACUACCCCCCAUUGUUCGGCACCUGCAAAUUAACUUUGACCCGAUAUUACUACAACACCUUGACAUUUUUGUGUGAGCCCUUCAUGUUCUCUGGCUGUGGAGGCAACAGAAACAACUUUAAACAAAAAUACAUCUGUGAAAAGAUGUGUAUUCUGAAAAGCAGGAAAAAGUAAGCUUAAUACGACAGAAGGAAGAAAUAAGGAAGAGGAAAACGUAUGCCCAAAUUAUUCUGAGUAAAUAAAUUGGACUAUUGCUAGAAGUUUUUUGAAUUC